UACGUAGGCAGCGAGCGUUGUUCGGAAUUACUGGGCGUAAAGAGUGUGUAGUCGGUGCUCCCAGUCUGUUGUGAAAUCUCCCGGCUUAACUGGGAGGGUGCAGCGGAAACUAGAGUGCUAGAGGGUGGGAGAGGUAAGCGGAAUUCCUGGUGUAGCGGUGAAAUGCGUAGAUAUCAGGAGGAACACCUGUGGUGUAGACAGCUUACUGGACCACUUCUGACGCUGAGACACGAAAGCGUGGGUAGCAAACAGG
rnacentral:rRNA from 1 species